rnacentral:tRNA from 1 species
UGGCUCAGUGGUAAGAGUGCUUGCCUUGCAUGCAUGAGGCCCUGGGUUCAAUUCCUCAG